GAUGAACGCUGGCGGCGUGCCUAAUACAUGCAAGUCGAGCGAAUGGAUUAAGAGCUUGCUCUUAUGAAGUUAGCGGCGGACGGGUGAGUAACACGUGGGUAACCUGCCCAUAAGACUGGGAUAACUCCGGGAAACCGGGGCUAAUACCGGAUAACAUUUUGAACCGCAUGGUUCGAAAUUGAAAGGCGGCUUCGGCUGUCACUUAUGGAUGGACCCGCGUCGCAUUAGCUAGUUGGUGAGGUAACGGCUCACCAAGGCAACGAUGCGUAGCCGACCUGAGCGAGUGAUCCGCCACACUGGGACUGAGACACGGCCCAGACUCCUACGGGAGGCAGCAGUAGGGAAUCUUCCGCAAUGGACGAAAGUCUGACGGAGCAACGCCGCGUGAGUGAUGAAGGCUUUCGGGUCGUAAAACUCUGUUGUUAGGGAAGGACAAGUGCUAGUUGAAUAAGCUGGCACCUUGACGGUACCUAACCAGAAAGCCACGGCUAACUACGUGCCAGCCGCCGCAGUAA
rnacentral:rRNA from 1 species